UGUGAUGGGGAGCGAAAUUUAGUAGCGAAGUAGCUGAUUUCACACUGUCAAGAAAAGUCUCUAUCGAGGUUAAAGGUACCCGUACCGCAAACCGACACAGGGGGGUGAGGAGAGUAUCCUAAGGCCAGCGAGAGAACUGUUGUUAAGGAACUCGGCAAAAUGACCCCGUAACUUAGGGAUAAGGGGUGCCACCAUCAGGUGGCCGCAGAGAAUAGGCCCAAGCGACUGUUUACCAAAAACAUAGGUUUCUGCUAAGUCGCAAGACGAUGUAUAGGAGCUGACGCC
rnacentral:rRNA from 1 species